CAUAUACAAAAAUUGGAAAAAAAAAAUUGGAAGGCUACAGAGAAGAUUAGCCUGGCCCUUGCGCAAGGAGGACACGCAAAUCAGUGAAGCGUUCCAUAUUUUU